AGAGUUUGAUCCUGGCUCAGGAUGAACGCUGGCGGCGUGCUUAACACAUGCAAGUCGAGGGGCAGCGGGGGCGAAGCUUGCUUCGCCUGCCGGCGACCGGCGCACGGGUGAGUAACACGUAUGCGACCUGCCCCCCGCAGGGGGAUAACCGGGAGAAAUCCCGACUAAUACCGCGUAACGCCGCGGGGCUGCAUGGCCCCGCGGCCAAAGGAAGCGAUUCCGGCGGGGGAUGGGCAUGCGGCGCAUUAGCUAGUCGGCGGGGUAACGGCCCACCGAGGCGACGAUGCGUAGGGGUUCUGAGAGGAAGGUCCCCCACACUGGUACUGAGACACGGACCAGACUCCUACGGGAGGCAGCAGUGAGGAAUAUUGGUCAAUGGGCGGGAGCCUGAACCAGCCAAGUCGCGUGAGGGAAGACGGUCCUACGGAUUGUAAACCUCUUUUGCCGGGGAGCAACGGGGUCCUUGCGAGGGCCCGAUGAGAGUACCCGGAGAAAAAGCAUCGGCUAACUCCGUGCCAGCAGCCGCGGUAAUACGGAGGAUGCGAGCGUUAUCCGGAUUUAUUGGGUUUAAAGGGUGCGUAGGCGGGCUGUUAAGUCAGCGGUCAAAUGUCGGGGCUCGACCCCGGCCUGCCGUUGAAACUGGCGGCCUCGAGUGGGCGAGAAGUAUGCGGAAUGCGUGGUGUAGCGGUGAAAUGCAUAGAUAUCACGCAGAACUCCGAUUGCGAAGGCAGCAUACCGGCGCCCGACUGACGCUGAGGCACGAAAGCGUGGGUAUCGAACAGGAUUAGAUACCCUGGUAGUCCACGCAGUAAACGAUGAAUGCUAGCUGUCCGGUUCUACGGGACUGGGUGGCACAGCGAAAGCGUUAAGCAUUCCACCUGGGGAGUACGCCGGCAACGGUGAAACUCAAAGGAAUUGACGGGGGCCCGCACAAGCGGAGGAACAUGUGGUUUAAUUCGAUGAUACGCGAGGAACCUUACCCGGGCUCAAACGCCAAAGGACAGCCGCUGAAAGGCGGCCUCCCUCCGGGGUCUUUGGCGAGGUGCUGCAUGGUUGUCGUCAGCUCGUGCCGUGAGGUGUCGGCUUAAGUGCCAUAACGAGCGCAACCCCCAUCGACAGUUGCUAACGGGUGGAGCCGAGGACUCUGUCGAGACUGCCGGCGCAAGCUGCGAGGAAGGCGGGGAUGACGUCAAAUCAGCACGGCCCUUACGUCCGGGGCGACACACGUGUUACAAUGGCCGGUACAGCGGGAUGCCAGGGCGCGAGUCCGAGCGGAACCCGAAAACCGGUCUCAGUUCGGAUUGGAGUCUGCAACCCGACUCCAUGAAGCUGGAUUCGCUAGUAAUCGCGCAUCAGCCACGGCGCGGUGAAUACGUUCCCGGGCCUUGUACACACCGCCCGUCA
rnacentral:rRNA from 1 species